rnacentral:rRNA from 1 species
AUUGAACGCUGGCGGCAGGCCUAACACAUGCAAGUCGAACGAGUGGCGGACGGGUGAGUAAUGUCUGGGAAACUGCCUGAUGGAGGGGGAUAACUACUGGAAACGGUAGCUAAUACCGCAUACCAUCAGAUGUGCCCAGAUGGGAUGAGCUUGUUGGUGGGGUAACGGCUCAACAAGGCGACGAUGCCUAGCUGGUCUGAGAGGAUGACCCGCGACACUGGAACUGAGACACGGUCCAGAAUACUACGGGAGGCAGCAGUGGGUAAUAUUUCACAAGGGGCGAAAGCCUGAUGCAGCCAUGGCGCGUGUAUGAAGAAGGGCUUCGGGUUGUAAAGUACUUGCAGCGGGGAGGCGUUACCUGCAGAAGAAGCACCGGCUAACUCCGUGCCAGCAGCCGCGGUAAUAC